GCUGAGGCCUGGAGGAGCGUGCAAUGUGCGUGCAUGUGUGCGCUCUUUGCCCGCGUUGUGUCAUGUCAUCAUCUCCCUCUCAUGUGAGUGAGUGAGAGAUAAUACUAGCUAGGGUUUGUGUGAGUGCGUGAGAGGGAUUAGCUAGCUAGGGCACUCUGGGUAUGAGGAGGAGGAGCUGCCGCGGCUCCCAGCUAUUUAUAGGGGGCUGCGUACAGCGUACAAUCAAGCUAGCAACACCUACCACUACCAUGCUCCCUCCAGUCUUCUUCCUCCUCCCUCCAUCCACACGCUCACCAACACCUACCAUUACCAAGCUAGCUCUCUCUCCUCUCCAUGAGUAGCGCCAUCCAUCCACACGCACAAUGUAGAGUGUCCUGAGGUCGGCAUUGAGAGGGGGGCCUCGUUUGUGAGCGCGGACAUCGACGGAUGACUGACGCCGUGCAAUGCAGCUUCUGGAUGGGGAGUUUGUACGCUGCUGCAGGCCGGCAGAUAUGUAUGCACAAGUAUCAUUCAAACACUUGCAUGGCUCCAUCUCAUUAAUCAUCCAGAUUCCAGAGGGGGAGCUACACAUACUUUUCAUGGUGCUGGUCGAUACCUGACCCGGCUGGCGUACACCGUACAGGCUCCAAUGUCAAUGCAUCUGCGCAUCUAUAUAUCAGCAGAAAAGCUAGGUGUAUAUAUAGCUCGCUCGUCAGACCAUAUGCAUGCAUUGGUCUUACUUAGUCGUUUGAUCCUGAUUCAGAUGGUCAAAAUCAUGUACACUUUGAGAUUUCACCUUUCCUGUAAGAACAUGUAAUAUCCUUGGUGUGUUCCAUUCUCGAAUAUUCAAUGAAUUAAGCCGAAA